ensembl:lncRNA LINC00484 long intergenic non-protein coding RNA 484
AGUUAAAACCUAAAUGAGCAACAAACGAGGUGACGUGCGUUAUCAGUUUUGUCUUCCAUGUCUUCCUCAUCCUGCUGUUUGCUCCACGGCUCUUGACAGGAUGGAGACGAGGAAAGAACUUCCACAUCCACAUUCAAAACGUCUGCCAGAACUCCCUCAGGCGAUUACUUUAAAACAUGAAAGAAAUUGCACCUUUUCCUUAAGGGCAAGAUGGUGCUGUGGGCUUUCCUCUCUCCUGAUGAGAUGAUGCAAAUGGACUCCAUAGAGAAACGCUGCCCGUGUAACAAUGCAGUUACGCAACCCGGUGCAUGACACAUGAAUUGCAGCGCACCUGAGAUCCUGAUGAAAUCCUGGGAGCCUGGAGCUGUCAAACAUGGUUUUAAAAAAUAAAGGGAAUACACCCAGCCCACACCCUGACUUUACAACCUUUAAUUAAUUAGAGGAAAGAAAGAGA